rnacentral:misc_RNA from 1 species
ACAAACUUGGUCAUUUAGAGGAAGUAAAAGUCGUAACAAGGUUUCCGUAGGUGAACCUGCGGAAGGAUCAUUAACGUAUCUCGGGCGGGAGGCGCGCCUCGCUCCGACCGGUAAAACGGUCGUCGCAGCGGGCGAGUCCCCGUUCCAACUUCACAAACCCUGUGCACCUUUGACGGUGGAGGACGGGCCUGGGCGAAAGCCCGAGUCCUUCUGAACCCGUUACAAACCAAACACCACUGAUAGAAUGAUUUGCGGCCUCUGUGUCGCCUAACAAAUGAAACAACUUUCAACAACGGAUCUCUUGGCUCUCGCAUCGAUGAAGAACGCAGC